UUACAAACAAGUCAGGUCAUUCACACGUGACCCACACAAAAACGAACGUAUUGCCCGACACUAGACGCGUUGUAUGUGGAGAUAUUCCGCUGCUUUCAGCACAUGUGGCACGACUCCGACGUUACAAAUAGAUUGCGUCUCCUCGAGGCUGCCGUUAACGCCGUUUGCAUUUUUUAACUGAGGAGGUGGCGUGAUCUUGAAUUGAUGAGGAACAUUUUCCUGGUUAAUCAAUGACUGCCCGAGCACUCUUGAACAGGCUCCCACGUGUAUCGUCACAGGAAGCCUUUUUUUUUUUUUUUUAACAUUUGCUGCAGCCAUCUCAAGACAGCUGAUGUGAAGUCUACAGAUGGAAUGGAUGCAUUCACGAUGCCUCCUCUCUGAUGACACCACCGGCCACAAGAACAACAAAACCCGAUGUGACGCUCUGCGUGUGGGCAGGCGAGGAGGGAGGCAAAGUUUCUGCAUGCUGCACUGGCACGGGGGACGCGAGAGGAGCCGAGGAGGAGCUGAGGAGCAGCUGAGGAGGAGCCGAGGAGGAGCUGAGGAGCAGCUGAGGAGGAGCGGAGCGUUAGGUUGCACCAAAAAAUACAAACCGGGUACGAAGAAACAUACCUGCUUCAGAAAUACAUGACAAUGAAGAGGUAAUGGUAAAUAUUCAGGGAAUACAUUUACUUCAACAAUUCCUUUUUUAGAUUACCUGUAUAAUAAGCAAUAAUAUACUUUGUAAAUACUGUUAUUUACAGUAUUUGUAAAGCACUGCUUAUUUUGGGGUAAAUAUAUAAUUUUCAACUAAAUGACAUUCACUUGAUUAUUUUACACACUGUUGUUCCUGCCGCGUGACCUUGCCAGUAAUAACAUUGAUGUACUCUGUAUUUAUUGGAUAGAUACCAGAUGAAUAACAAUACAUGUGUUCAACAAGGGCUUAGAAAUAAAUUAAGUUAUCCCCUCGGUUUGCUGUCCUUUCCCUUCUCACAUACAGGUACCCAGAGUGUAACAACACCCUUCAUACACCAAAAAAUUAAACAAUCAUUCGCGGGAUGAAAACAAAAGACCUGUCAAUCAUUGCUGUGUCAGCUGCAAAACAUUUUAAUAUAAAACUCCGCUGCUCCCAUUAAACUUAAGACUUCUUUUGA